rnacentral:rRNA from 1 species
AUGACCAACGCUAAAGUAGCUGGAGUGUUAUGCCUCCUAGCCCUUGUGGCUAUCUCUUGUGCGUGCUAUGCACGAGCAUUAGAUCACUGCAUUAGGGAUAAAGAUAAGGUGAUGAAAUAUUGUUGGCAUAACAUCGUAAAGAACCUUGGUGACCAGUUCCCACCACAUUGGAGCCUAUGUUGCAAUAAAAUAAGGAUGCAAAAGACAUCCAUUGUGUUUGUGAUCGGUUCACCGCUCACGAACUGA